rnacentral:rRNA from 1 species
GACGAACGCUGGCGGCGUGCUUAACACAUGCAAGUCGAACGGAAAGGCCCUGCCUUUGUGGGGUGCUCGAGUGGCGAACGGGUGAGUAACACGUGAGUAACCUGCCCUUGACUUUGGGAUAACUUCAGGAAACUGGGGCUAAUACCGGAUAGGAGCUCCUGCUGCAUGGUGGGGGUUGGAAAGUUUCGGCGGUUGGGGAUGGACUCGCGGCUUAUCAGCUUGUUGGUGGGGUAGUGGCUUACCAAGGCUUUGACGGGUAGCCGGCCUGAGAGGGUGACGGGCCACAUUGGGACUGAGAUACGGCCCAGACUCCUACGGGAGGCAGCAGUGGGGAAUAUUGCACAAUGGGCGGAAGCCUGAUGCAGCAACGCCGCGUGCGGGAUGACGGCCUUCGGGUUGUAAACCGCUUUCGCCUGUGACGAAGCGUGAGUGACGGUAAUGGGUAAAGAAGCACCGGCUAACUACGUG